GCUCAGAUUGAACGCUGGCGGCAGGCCUAACACAUGCAAGUCGAACGGUAACAGGAAGAAGCUUGCUUCUUUGCUGACGAGUGGCGGACGGGUGAGUAAUGUCUGGGAAACUGCCUGAUGGAGGGGGAUAACUACUGGAAACGGUAGCUAAUACCGCAUAACGUCGCAAGACCAAAGAGGGGGACCUUCGGGCCUCUUGCCAUCGGAUGUGCCCAGAUGGGAUUAGCUUGUUGGUGGGGUAACGGCUCACCAAGGCGACGAUCCCUAGCUGUCUGAGAGGAUGACCAGCCACACUGGAACUGAGACACGGUCCAGACUCCUACGGGAGGCACAGUGGGGAAUAUUGCACAAUGGGCGCAAGCCUGAUGCAGCCAUGCCGCGUGUAUGAAGAAGCCUUCGGGUUGUAAAGUACUUUCAGCGGGGAGGAAGGGAGUAAAGUUAAUACCUUUGCUCAUUGACGUUACCCGCAGAAGAAGCACCGGCUAACUCCGUGCCAGCAGCCGCGGUAAUACGGAGGGUCAAGCGUUAAUCGGAAUUACUGGGCGUAAAGCGCACCAGGCGGUUUGUUAAGUCAGAUGUGAAAUCCCCGGGCUCAACCUGGGAACUGCAUCUGAUACUGCAAGCUUGAGUCUCGUAGAGGGGGGUAGAAUUCCAGGUGUAGCGGUGAAAUCGUAGAGAUCUGGAGGAAUACCGGUGGCGAAGGCGGCCCCCUGACGAAGAC
rnacentral:rRNA from 1 species